CGGGUGAGUAACACGUAGGUAAUGUGCCUUUGGGUGGGGAAUAACUUAGGGAAACUUAAGCUAAUACCGCAUAAUGCAGCGGCUCCUAAUGGAGACAGUUGUUAAAGAUUUAUCGCCUAAAGAGCAGCCUGCGGCAGAUUAGCUAGUUGGUAAGGUAAUGGCUUACCAAGGCUACGAUCUGUAUCCGACCUGAGAGGGUGGUCGGACACACUGACACUGAAUAACGGGUCAG
rnacentral:rRNA from 1 species